rnacentral:misc_RNA from 1 species
GCUUGAGUAUCCAGUAGAGAAUAGAUUUUUUAUAUUAUGAUGCAUGCAUGAAGUUGGGAUCAUCAUAAGCACAGACAGAAGCAAGUGUUUGAUUAUUUAAUAAUAGGAUCGAUGUAGACAUCUGCAACACAUAUCUGAUAAGAAAGCCGAAGACACAUUCUUGAAGAUCCUUUAAAACUAGUGAGGGACUAUAGUUUUACUGUCGAAGUCCUUUUUGCUAUGGGUCA